rnacentral:rRNA from 1 species
AGCGAACGCUGGCGGCAGGCCUAACACAUGCAAGUCGAACGAAGUCUUCGGACUUAGUGGCGGACGGGUGAGUAACACGUGGGAACGUGCCCUUAGGUUCGGAAUAACUCAGGGAAACUUGUGCUAAUACCGAAUGUGCCCUUCGGGGGAAAGAUUUAUCGCCUUUAGAGCGGCCCGCGUCUGAUUAGCUAGUUGGUGAGGUAAAGGCUCACCAAGGCUACGAUCAGUAGCUGGUCUGAGAGGAUGACCAGCCACAUUGGGACUGAGACACGGCCCAAACUCCUACGGGAGGCUGCAGUGGGGAAUCUUGCGCAAUGGGCGAAAGCCUGACGCAGCCAUGCCGCGUGGAUGAUGAAGGUCUUAGGAUUGUAAAAUCCUUUCACCGGUGAAGAUAAUGACUGUAGCCGGAGAAGAAGCCCCGGCUAACUUCGUGCCAGCCGCCGCCGUAAUAC